UACGAAGGGGGCUAGCGUUGUUCGGAAUUACUGGGCGUAAAGGGCGCGUAGGCGGCUUGGUCAGUCCCGUGUGAAAUCCCUCGGCUCAACUGAGGAACUGCACGGGAAACUGCCUGGCUUGAGUUCGGGAGAGGGAAGCGGAAUUCCGGGUGUAGCGGUGAAAUGCGUAGAUAUCCGGAGGAACACCGGUGGCGAAGGCGGCUUCCUGGACCGACACUGACGCUGGAGGCGCGAAAGCUACGGGGAGCAAACGGG
rnacentral:rRNA from 1 species